CUUUAUUGGAGAGUUUGAUCCUGGCUCAGGAUGAACGCUGGCGGCGUGCCUAAUACAUGCAAGUCGAGCGAAUGGAUUGAGAGCUUGCUCUCAAGAAGUUAGCGGCGGACGGGUGAGUAACACGUGGGUAACCUGCCCAUAAGACUGGGAUAACUCCGGGAAACCGGGGCUAAUACCG
rnacentral:rRNA from 1 species